UUCUUAGAGUUUGAUUUUUGAGUUACACUUAAUCUUUUAGGACCCAAGUCACCAUGUUUCUUAGUAGCUCUAAAUUUGUAGUCUGGGGGAAAAAAGUGUGUUUGAUUUGGUUUAACAGCUGGAAGCAACAUUUCUAGCCCCUAAGAAUAGGAGAGGGCUUAAACAUUUGGGAUGAGACCCUGAGGCAAAGUAUAAUUCCCAAUUCUCCCAAUCCUCCCCAUCUUGGAAAAAUAGCUCAAGGUGCUACUGUUCUCGACUAGGAUUCCCCUUUGGUGGUUGAAGUGAAAUAAGUAAAUUAUAUUCCCACGUGUGUUAUACAUAAGUAUAUGUAAAAUGAGCAUAAAAUUAAGUUAUAGUAUUGAAAAUAUAGUAAUAGCUAGCAUUAGUAGGUACAUAUGAGAAUUCUUUUUGAGUGAUGAAUGUGGAUACCUUGGGGAAACGCAGACUUGACUGAAUUAAGACACAUAUUUUAGGGAGACCAUUAGAGAAUUGUUUAAGGUGGGGGGGGGGGAAAGAAAGGUGAUGGAAUGACUCUUUCUCUCCUAAAUAGUUUUGCCUUCUCUCCGUUGCAACUGGGAAGAGGUCAGCACUGCUAUGAAAAAUGUCCCGUUGAGGUCUUCACAAAUUCAAAAGAAAUGGGAUGAAAUUAAAGCCCUAUGUUUUCUAGGGAAAAAAAAGGACAAAACUGAAGCACAAAUUCGCCUCCCUCUGCUCUGUCUCACUCUGAGGGUUAUGGCAACAACUGACCUGUGAACCUGAUGACAAUUGUAAUGCAGGAUCAUAGAAGUGACAGUAGCCUCGGGAGUAGUUUCCUCUACCUCCUUUCCUUGGCUGAAGAUCAGGAUUCACCACAUGGAACAAAUGUAGCCUGGUCACAGUGUGCCUCUGGACCGAAAGGUGUCCCAGAGUGGGUGGCAAGCUGAUUUUUCAAAACCCAUUUUUCUCUAUCUGGAGUCACAUUAAGAAAGCAACUGAUAGCACGGUGGUGAAGGAUGUAGACGGUCAUGAAACCAAACAGGAAAUUUGAAAGGACAUGAUUCCUCAAGAGACUUGACGGCAUCUCUUCAUACGAGGACCCGCGGACCCUGUGAGGCCAGCGACACUAGAACGGAAGCCAGGUCAUACCUCUCGAUGAAGACUCCAGAAAGGAGAACUGAAAAGUGGAAAAAGAGAAAAGGUGACACUUACCUUAUUCCAAUCCCCAUCUUCUCAAAUAUGGAGUGGGUUGUGAAUCCAAUAACUUAUGAAAAUUCAGGAGGAUGGACUGCUUGGGCGAUCCCAAAACUUGGCUCAGAGAAUCUGGAUAUUGAACUCUGGAAAAGAAUCCCACAAGGAACAGAUGUGAAAUCUACCUCUAUUAACUGCUCUCUGCUCAUGAUUCUAAUGCUGAUAAGUUCUUCUAAAUCGUUUUAGAUAAUCUCCAAUCCCCUUUGAUAUUAGAGGGGCCUGAUAAAUCUUUCUCUGGUAAAA